rnacentral:lncRNA from 1 species
GGGGCAUUGUAUACUUUUAUACCAAAAAGAACUAGUAGUUACUAACAUUAAGAUUUACUUAAAAAAAACUUUGAAUUUAUCGCUCGUUUAUAUAUUAUGUCUGAAUGACAACUGUCUGUAACUUUAUAUUAAGCCAAAUGCUGUAAUUAUCAAUGUAUCCGAUUUCAAACCGCAUUUAGAUUAGAUAUCGAACAAAUGCCAUCUGCGAAUAAAC